CCCUUCAUGGAUGUAGGUUCCACAGUGGGGCUGCUUUGCUUUGCUCAGCUCGACCCUCAGCAAACGGGAGUCCCUCCUUAGUGACUUUAGAAACAACCCUGACUUUUCACUGACUCAUUGACUCAAACACUCCUACAUUAUCUAUCUAUGAAAAUUUUAGAGAUGGGGGAAAACAAGCACAAGAAAGUGGGGGACUCUCCAGGUCCCACAGCCAUUGGGAAGCCGACGAGCUGCUGGAGCCUAUGGCUUCAAGCUCUCCAGGCAGUCGUCUAUCACGUCCAAUACCUCUUUGCUGCAUUCAGUUGUUUAAUAUUUUUCCACUAAGUAAUGGGGAGCCAUUGAAUAUUUGAAGCUUCCAGGAAAUGGCAUGUGUUGUAUUUUAAUGUAAGGUGACCCCUUAAUAUAAUUGGCCAGUCCUGCUUUGAAACAUGUCCAGGUCUAAAUCAUUAUGACUCUAUUCAGCGGUGUAUAUCAGUAUUUUCCCAUGUUCCUUUGGCAAAUAGUACCAGAAGAUCAUCUGUGGUUGAAUGAACUGUGAUUGAAUUUGAUCAUGAGGAUGCACAGAAUCUGUUGAACAGUUCAUCAGUAGAAGUUUUGAAGGUCAUUAUAAUCUGCAGCCAUCCAAAGGGGUGUUUCCGAGUUUUCCAAUUUCCUUCUGGCAGGUUACACAAUCAGAAAAGGCAACAUGGCCCCCGGUCACCAAGGCUCCCAUGUGCCCAGGAGAAAAUGUUUACGGUACCAGUUAGCCUGAAGCAAAUCCACUGUCAGCGUUUUUCCUAAACCUCGGAGAAAGAAGAAGAAACAAAAGCUGUUGAAAUGUGAAAAUAAUUAGAGAAGAGACUUUCCCAGGGAACAAACAUGGCCCACGCUGUACAGAGGGAAGAACAAACAAACUUUGGAGGAGAUUAUGGAGCUGUAAAAUCCUUGUUUAUUUCUGCAGAAAGAAAUAAAGUUGGAGAGAAGCCACGGGGUCUGCAAAAUAAUAAAUCACGUGCUGGGGGUGGGAAGGAGGAGCUGGCCUAUAAAUUCAGAGACGAAAACAAAGCAGCAUUCCAGCCCGUCCCUGGUGGCGUGUGAACCUGCACCACCGUUUGAUUUC